rnacentral:rRNA from 1 species
GUCUCAGGCCGUAUCAGCCUGAAGGCGCCCGAUCUCGUCUGAUCUCGGAAGCUAAGCAGGGUCGGGCCUGGUUAGGAUC